rnacentral:tRNA from 1 species
ACGUUGGGAGAAUUGGCAAUCCGCCUUCUAAGCGGAAGCGUGUGGGUUCGACUCCCACCGGGCGUA